AGCGAACGCUGGCGGCAGGCCUAACACAUGCAAGUCGAACGAACCUUUCGGGGUUAGUGGCGGACGUGUGGGUAACACGUGGGAACGUGCCUUUAGGUUCGGAAUACCUCAGGGAAACUUGUGCUAAUACCGAAUGUGCCCUUCGGGGGAAAGAUUUAUCGCCUUUAGAGCGGCCCGCGUCUGAUUAGCUAGUUGGUUGGGGUAAUGGCUCACCAAGGCGACGUUCAGUAGCUGGUCUGAGAGGAGGAUCAGCCACAUUGGGACUGAGACACGGACCAAACUCCUACGGGAGGGAGGAGUGGGGAAUCUUGCGCAAUGGGGGAAAGCGUGACGCAGCCAUGCCGGGUGAAUGAUGAAGGGCUUAGGAUUGUAAAAUUCUUUCACCGGGGACGAUAAUGACGGUACCCGGAGAAGAAGCCCCGGCUAACUUCGUG
rnacentral:rRNA from 1 species